AAUGAGCAGGGGUCAUCUGUCCAGUGUGGUCAAGAGGACACCCCAAGGGGUUAGGAAUAUAAGAACAAAACAAUCAGCAGGCGGGUCUGCGGCAUUCUAAGAACAGACACUGGCAGGAACAAAGGUUACAGAAGUGAAUGACUCUAAGAAUCAAGCAAGACAUGGAGUGGCAGAAAAUUAAAUUCUGAAUCCCUAAAAGACAUGAUGCAAAGAUGACCUCCUCUCCCAAGGACAUGUCCUCAUCCUGCGCUGACCGUGUGUGGUCAUUUCAGAAAAAGCGAACAAUGGAGAACCUGCUUGAAUGAUACUUAGACCUGGGACAACUGAAAGGAGUUGCACUUAUACAAUUCGGUGCAGUGGAGUCCCCUGGGAGGAGCCCCAGUCACACGGGAAGAGACAGUCACAGCUGUAAUAAAUGAUGGCUAGCAUGUAUCAAGCACUGGCCGAGUCCUCAGCAUACAUUACAUUACAGAAUUCAGUGUGCACCUCAACACUCUGGGGGUGUAUUUUAUAGGAGAACUGUGGCACAAAGAGGGGUUUUGCAAUCCCAAGAAGAGUCAGCGUUUGAAUUUUGAAUUUAUGUGCAAAAGAGACAAAUAUGGCUAAAGGGCAUGGGCACACUCUCUCUGGGUCCCCGUGUUAACGAUUUUAGUAGCUUCUAUUUAAAUGGUGCUCUUUCUCUAAGAAGAUCAUUGGGUAUUUUCUGAAAGCUUACAUAAUGGCUGGAAGCCCCCUGCCUCUGCAAAGGAACACCUGAUUCAGAAAAGUAAACACCAUAACAGCAACCCAUUCAUCAGCUGCCCAGACUCACAACCAAGCAGACAUGCAGCGACUUUCCAAAAACCCUCAUUUCUGGCAUUACAGCCUGUGGCAAUAACAGAGUUAAGGAAAGGUAAGUGAAACUCAGAGAGACACAGUGAGAUAAUUAUUCCUCACGCCUGUUAGAAGAACAUUCCACCGUCUCAGAAGAAGCCCUGUCUGAAUCUGAUUCAGCUGAGAAAACAACUCAGGCCAUGGUAGCUGCACCCAACUCUCUAAAUCAACAGUGACCUGUGCUGAAGGGAUUAAGGCAUCCCAACAUUCCUCAGAGCCCAAGGCAAGGAGAAUCCCUUAUGAAGAUGAAAUUGAUCUUCAAGCACCCUCUACCUUACUCUGCGUGAUGCCAUAUUCUUCCUGAAUCCCACCCAACUCAAGAGCAUGAUUUGCAUAAUAAAAUCUCUAAUACUUUGAUGAACAAAUGUUAUCCAAGAUACUUUAAAAACUGCCUUCACGGUGAGAAAUGAACUUAAUUCCAUUAAUUCAUUGUCUGUUCGUUAUUCUAGAAACAUUAUUUGAGUGUUCAGCAUGUGCUGAGCUAUUUAGAGAUGUUUCUGAGGGCUAGGACUAGUAACUGCAAAUCCUAUGCUUUUUUUUCUCUCUUCCACACUGCCUUGGGGAUUAAAGACAGUGGCUCUUAAAUCUGGCUGUGCUUCAAAAUCAUCUAGGACAGGAGUGGGCAUUGGAACACAGACACGCUCAUUCAUUUAUAUAUUGUCUAUAGCUGCUUUGGCAUUAAAAACAGAGAAGUUGAGUAGUUGCAAAAGAAAUCACGUGGCCCACAAAGCCUGAAAUAUUUACCCUCUGUCCCUUUACAGAAAAAGUUUGCUAACCUCUGAUCUAGGACCUCUGGACCAGCAGCAUCAGCAUCACUUGGAAGCCUGUCAAACAUGCAGAAUCUCAGGUCCACCCCAGACCCACGAAAUUUCAC
rnacentral:lncRNA from 1 species